AGUGAACGCUGGCGGUAGGCCUAACACAUGCAAGUCGAACGGCAGCACAGUAAGAGCUUGCUCUUACGGGUGGCGAGUGGCGGACGGGUGAGGAAUACAUCGGAAUCUACUUUUUCGUGGGGGAUAACGUAGGGAAACUUACGCUAAUACCGCAUACGACCUACGGGUGAAAGCAGGGGAUCUUCGGACCUUGCGCGAUUGAAUGAGCCGAUGUCGGAUUAGCUAGUUGGCGGGGUAAAGGCCCACCAAGGCGACGAUCCGUAGCUGGUCUGAGAGGAUGGUCGGCCACACUAGAACUGAGACACGGUCCAGACUCCUACGGGAGGAAGCAGUGGGGAAUAUUGGACAAUGGGCGCAAGCCUGAUCCAGCCAUACCGCGUGGGUGAAGAAGGCCUUCGGGUUGUAAAGCCCUUUUGUUGGGAAAGAAAAGCAGCAGGUUAAUACCCCGCUGUUCUGACGGUACCCAAAGAAUAAGCACCGGCUAACUUCGUG
rnacentral:rRNA from 1 species